AGCUACACUGCUAUUUCUACUCACACUAGCUCAAGGAGAGCUAGCAUGAGUAUCUGUACAUGAACCUGGAAAUCACACCCCUAUCUUGAAGUGCAGACACAGCCCUAGUGGGGCCAGCAGUGGUUGAACCAAGAGUGAAUUGAACCAAACCUUUGAUCCAACUUUGAACCAAGACUCUGAGGUGUAUGUGGAGACAAUGCUGUCCGAGCUCAUCUUCAUGGGGAGACAUCUUGGUCCUCAGGAGCAUUUUC